UAUCAGACUUGUUACAAAGUUGUUCUGACAAGUCUGAUGCAAUCAUGAUAUAACAAGAAUGUUACAAGGUUGUAACAAUUUUGUUAUAACCUUAUAUUGAACUUAUAUCAUGACUUUAUCGGACUUGUUGGAACAACCUUGCAACAAAUCUGAUA